AUUGAACGCUGGCGGCAUGCCUUACACAUGCAAGUCGAACGGCAGCACGGGUGCUUGCACCUGGUGGCGAGUGGCGAACGGGUGAGUAAUACAUCGGAACAUGUCCUGUAGUGGGGGAUAGCCCGGCGAAAGCCGGAUUAAUACCGCAUACGAUCUACGGAUGAAAGCGGGGGACCUUCGGGCCUCGCGCUAUAGGGUUGGCCGAUGGCUGAUUAGCUAGUUGGUGGGGUAAAGGCCUAUCAAGGCGACGAUCAGUAGCUGGUCUGAGAGGACGACCAGCCACACUGGGACUGAGACACGGCCCAGACUCCUACGGGAGGCAGCAGUGGGGAAUUUUGGACAAUGGGCGAAAGCCUGAUCCAGCAAUGCCGCGUGUGUGAAGAAGGCCUUCGGGUUGUAAAGCACUUUUGUCCGGAAAGAAAUCCUUGGCUCUAAUACAGUCGGGGGAUGACGGUACCGGAAGAAUAAGCACCGGCUAACUACGUG
rnacentral:rRNA from 1 species